AAAUUAUUCAAAUUAAAAAUUCAUAACAAGGGUUCAUCACAUCCUAGCAAUAUGAAGAAUUAGCCUAACAUGAUGUUGGAAUUAAACAAAUAAAAGUUGAAGGAGAUCACCAAAAUAUUAUGGAACAUGAAUAAUUCUAGUUGUUGUGUGGGUGCCGUCUCUGCGUCUCCGGUGUGUAUCUAUUUCUCGCAGCCUCGUUUUCUGUGUAUAUGCAUGUAAAAAUAAAUCCUAACCAGCCGCCCACUUUACUGUUAAUUCCCAGAAUUCAAUUUCAGUCGGCUAACUUUUCUGCCUGUAUUUUCGACUCCCAGCUGCCCGUCUCUUUGUGUAUAAAAUAUAUAUAUUGGCUGCCUUUUAUUCUUUCACUGCGUGUGCAUACGUAUACUGACCUAGCAGCUGCCCUCCUCUCGAUGUUCUGUGCGUUUUUUUUUUUCUCAACUCUUUUUAC
rnacentral:lncRNA from 1 species